rnacentral:rRNA from 1 species
GAGUUUGAUCGUGGCUCAGGAUGAACGCUGGCGGCGUGCCUAAUACAUGCAAGUCGAACGAAACUUCUUUAUCACCGAGUGCUUGCACUCACCGGUAAAGGGUUGAGUGGCGAACGGGUGAGUAACACGUGGGCAACCUGCCCAAAAGAGGGGGAUAACACUUGGAAACAGGUGCUAAUACCGCAUAACCAUAGUUACCGCAUGGUAGCUAUGUAAAAGGUGGCUAUGCUACCGCUUUUGGAUGGGGCCCGCGGCGCAUUAGCUAGUUGGUGGGGUAAAGGCUUACCAAGGCAAUGAUGCGUAGCCGAACUGAGGGGUUGAUCGGCCACAUUGGGACUGAGACACGGCCCAAACUCUUACGGGAGGCAGCAGUAGGGAAUCUUCCACAAUGGGCGAAAGCCUGAUGGAGCAACGCCGCGUGGGUGAAGAAGGUCUUCGGAUCGUAAAACCCUGUUGUUAGAGAAGAAAGUGCGUGAGAGUAACUGUUCACGUUUCGACGGUAUCUAACCAGAAAGCCACGGCUAACUA